rnacentral:rRNA from 1 species
CCUACGGGAGGCAGCAGUGGGGGAUAUUGCACAAUGGGGGAAACCCUGAUGCAGCGACGCCGCGUGUAGGAAGACGGUCCUCUGGAUUGUAAACCACUUUCCCCAGGGACGAAGAUGACGGUACCUGGGGAGUAAGCUCCGGCUAACUACUUGCCAGCAGCCGCGGUAAUACGUAGGGAGCGAGCGUUGUCCGGAAUUACUGGGUGUAUAGGGAGCGUAGGCGGGACUGCAAGUAGUGUGUAAAAUCUACCGGCUCAACCGGUAGCCGCACUCAAAACUGCAGUUCUUGAGUGAAGUAGAGGCAGGCGGAAUUCGUAGUGUAGCGGUGAAAUGCGUAGAUAUUAGGAGGAACACCAGUUGCGAAGGCGGCUUGCUGGGCUUUUACUGACGCUGAGGCUCGAAAGUGUGGGGAGCAAACAGGAUUAGAUACCCUGGUAGUC